rnacentral:miRNA from 1 species
UAACUCAACGGCUGGAAGGAAGCCCUUCCAGUUGUCGAGGUACAAGUACCUCGUCUUGUACCUCGUCGACCGGAAGGGCUUCCUUCCAGCCGGCGAGGUA